rfam:Asian citrus Psyllid, Diaphorina citri - Florida Strain, whole genome shotgun sequence.
GCUCCCAUGGCGUAGUGGUCACUGCGCUCGCCUUGCACGCGGGAGACCCGGGUUCGAUUCCUGGCGGAAUCA